rnacentral:lncRNA from 10 species
CGGUCUCCGGAGGCCGGGAUUCGCGGAGGGUCCAGCAGCAGGAAGAAACCCCAGGAGGAAGAAACCUCAGACAGAUCGCCGGCGAGGCAGCGCGGGAUCCCAGCCUCAGGCGUGCGCGGACGGUGUGCGGCGCACACAACCAAGCUUAGGAGCCGACUGUUAAGAUGCCCCAGUGACACGGACAAGUUUCUCCUCUGCAACCCAAUGAGAGCUGCUGACCACGAGAGCAUCGCGGGACCGCCAAAGGAUUCUGGAAAAUGUGGUCCCGGGUGGCCAGUGUGCGCUGACCUUCACCUGAAGGUACGGCUUGAAGGAAACUUCUGGAGGGUGGGGUGGUGUUGAAGAGAAGGCACAAUUGUCACCAUUUUGUUCAACAUGGGCGUUUUCUUUGUGCAUUGAUUUGCAUUUUUAAAGGUAUUCCAUUAAAAAUAUGUUUAUC